GCGCACCAGUCGCGAAUACUCCGCAAUACACGAAAGUGUGACGGGGCCAUCCCGAGUGCCGUCCGCUGAGGACGGCUUUUCCCCAGUGUACACAGCUGGGGGAAUAAGGAGAGGGCAAGCCUGGUGUCAGCCGCCGCGGUAAUACCAGCUCUCCGAGUGGUGGGGACGCUUAUUGGGCCUAAAGCAUCCGUAGCCGGCUGGGCAAGUUCUCCGUUAAAUCCAACGAUUCAAUCGUUGGGCUGCGGGGAUACUGUCCAGCUUGGGGGCGGAGAGGCCGACGGUAUUCCCGGGGUAGGGUGAAAUCCUAUAAGUCCCGGGAGGACCACCAGUGGCGAAGGCUGUCGGCUAGAACGCGCCCGACGGUGAGGGAUGAAAGCGU
rnacentral:rRNA from 1 species